UGGGGAAUAUUGCACAAUGGGCGCAAGCCUGAUGCAGCCAUGCCGCGUGUAUGAAGAAGGCCUUCGGGUUGUAAAGUACUUUCAGCGGGGAGGAAGGCGAUAAGGUUAAUAACCUUGUCGAUUGACGUUACCCGCAGAAGAAGCACCGGCUAACUCCGUGCCAGCAGCCGCGGUAAUACGGAGGGUGCAAGCGUUAAUCGGAAUUACUGGGCGUAAAGCGCACGCAGGCGGUCGGUCAAGUCGGAUGUGAAAUCCCCGGGCUCAACCUGGGAACUGAAUUCGGAACUGGCAGGCUAGAGUCUUGUAGAGGGGGAUAGAAUUCCAGGUGUAGCGGUGAAAUGCGUAGAGAUAUGGAGGAAUACCGGUGGCGAAGGCGGCCCCCUGGACAAAGACUGACGCUCAGGUGCGAAAGCGUGGGGAGCAAACA
rnacentral:rRNA from 1 species